ACCGUUUCGUUUUUUGGGGGCAUUAAUAAAAUCAGUGAAAUGGAUUUUUACCAUUGUAUUGUGGUUGUGUUCACACACUGCUAAGACAAAUUUAUAUGCAAACACCAUGUAAAAGUGAAUUUUCCGAUGUCCCCUUUAAGAAUUUGAAACAAACCCAUAUAUUGAAUGGCAAUGUGUAAGUCUUCCCAUUUGGGCUAUAGACAUGAAUGAUCUCUGAAAUACUGCAGCUUGUUGUUGAGAGGACUGAUAUUACUUUUCCCAAACUGAUGGUCCUGUGAUUUUAUUUAUUUAUUUAUUCAUUCAUCCCACAGGUAAAACAGACUGAAAUCUCAUAGACUUUCUAUCACUGAGUGAUAUCUGGAGACCAGAAUAGAGACUUGGGAGUGGGCCAGUAAGCAACCACAUUGCAAUGACCCAGAGCACCCUGUCAUCCACAUAGAAACACAAACAAAUCACUCAGAAUGAUCUUCAUGUUAUUUUCUACUGCAAAUAAGAGCAGAUUUAGAAAGUUGGUUUCUGUGUUUCAUUUGUAAGAAAGCAAACGGAUCCAGAGCUCCCCCUGUAUGUUUCCAUUAGACUUGGAAAAGGUCAGGGAAAGAUCCAUUUAAAGAAGUAAUGAAAUGUGUGUUUGAGGUUUGAUGGGAUUUGUGUCUCUUCCAACUGCACAGUCACAUGGUCAAUAGUUUCCAUCUAAUAUAAACCCUUUACUCUGUAAACACUUACAAAACUCUGUGCAUAAAACUUUAUCUGAUGAAAAAAAUAUUGAAGCAGUAUUGUACUGUAUAAAGGAAGGACCUAAAGGAAUAUUUGUCAGGCGUCAUGUGCGGGAAGGAGGAGUAGGGACAAGGAAAUCAGGAACAUGCACUUUAUUCAGAUAAUCCACACAAGGGAAUCAGAAACUGGGAAUCAAACUUAUAUACUCAGGCUAAUGAGAACAGGACAGGUGAAAGUGAUUAAACAAUGAUGUCAUAAAAAGAAACGGAACAGGAAAGACCAACAAAACAGUCCACAGGGGUGUGACAUUACUCCCCCCUCCCGUAAAGCGCGUCUCGGACCGUAACAAAUACACCGGGGAGAGGGGGUGGGCACUCGUGCAGGGCAGACACAGGAGGGAGAGGAGGUAUGCCUCCAGGGCGGAUCGGGGAGCUCAGGGAGCCAUGGAGGGUCAGGGAGCCACAGCGGAGCAUACAGUCUGGGAUGCCAUGGCGGGUCAGGGAGCUCGGGAAGCCAUGACUGAGUACACAGUCCAGACGGCCAUGGUGGAUCAGGGAGCUCGGGGAGCCAUGGCCGAGUACACGGUUCAGCAGGGUAGCCAAAAUUUUCUUGGGGGAAAUAAGGGUAUUGUCAGCCCGGGAGGGUGCAGGAGGACCAGGCUUAGGAGGCGCUGGCACUGGAGAGCGCUCUGGAGGUGCAGGCUCAGGAGGCGCGGGCUCAGGAGGGCGCUCAGGAGGCGUAGCCACAGGAGAGCAGUCUGGCGGCGCGGGCUCCGGAGGGCGCUCUGGCUCUGGAGGGCUGGACAGGACCAGCGGAGACUUGGGAGGGCUGGACGGGACCAGCAAAGACGAAGGAGAAAGUAAUCCAUAUUGGUCCGUAAUAUCCUUAUGGCCUAUGUGGCUUGCCAUAUUUGAAGCCGUAAGUCCAGAGCGGGGGCGCCUGCAGGCUGAUUUGAGCGCGGAGCGGCUUCCAGCCGAUUUGAUCGCGGGGCGGCGGAAGGCCGACUCAAGCACGGGGCUGUGGCAAUUGACAGGAGUCACGGAACAAAACAACUGGUCAUCCUUUAGCCCCAUCUGAAAACACACGUUACUCAUAGAAUCGCUCCAACUCACCAGGUGUAAAACGCUCAAGAAUUCCUCCACGUACUGCUCCAGUGGCCUCUCCGUCUGCUGAAUGUUCAUGAGAAAUUCCUCAGCCCAGAACAUAUUUCUCAUGGUCGGGUCUUCUGUCAGGCGUUGUGUGCGGGAAGGAGGAGUAGGGACGAGGAAAUCAGGAACAUGCACUUUAUUCAGAUAAUCCACACAAGGGAAUCAGGAACGAACAGAAACAGCAGGGAAACCACACGCAAACACAACGAAAACAACAUCAAAUGACUUUAAGACCCAACAAGAAACGAAGAACUGAAUCAAACUUAUAUACCCAGGCUAAUGAGAACAGGACAGGUGAAAGUGAUUAAACAAUGACGUCAUAACAAGAAACGGAACAGGAAAGACCAAAUAAGGACACAUUUUCAUUUUUACAUUAACUGGGACUUUAAAAUUUAAAUUCUGUAAUUUGUAAAUGUAUAAAUUUGUGCCCCUUUUGAGCACUGCUUUAACUGUAUUUUGGAAAGAGUCGGUUAGAAAUUAGGCAUCUCCCAUUUACCUCGAACAAAACUGAGAAUUGACGUGCACCACGUCCUCAUUACCCAUGUCACAGAAAUAACACAUUGCCCUCCAGCGCAGAGCUCAGCUUCAGUGGCGCCCUCAGUGACCCCAUCUCCUGUCACAGCUCGCUUAAACACACUAACCUUCAGCGCUAAUCACAGCACAUCACAGCGCAAUUAGCCACAGAUGAGUGUUGUCAGACGCUCCUUCAUCACCCCUCUGUAUUUAAAGCCCAGCAGGUAAUAUUGAGUAGUGAGAUCGGUAAAUGGCAGAUAAGACGGAUGGAUGAAGACAGAGUUGGACAGUGAUAGGAUUCAUGUGAGAUCACUUAUUAGCCUCAGGGUUUCGCUUAGGUUCAUGGUGUCCCAAAAAGCCUUCUGUUACACAUCACAGAUAGGGGAAGGUUUUUGAAUUUGUGUCAGGAGUGUUGUGGAAUUGGCAGGACCCUGGUUCAAGUUGCACAUGCACUACUGUUAAAAUGUUUGAGGGCGAUGAGGUUUAUUUAUUUAAUGUUUUUGAAAGAAGUCUUUUACAUUUUACAGUCUAUUUUAAUGUGCUCUAAUGGCAAGUCUGAUUUUUUUUUUU